UGGGGAAUAUUGGGCAAUGGGGGCAACCCUGACCCAGCGACGCCGCGUGGGGGAAGAAGGUCUUCGGAUCGUAAACCUCUGUCAGGAGGGAAGAAAGGCAGUUUCUGAAUAAGGGGCUGCUGUGACGGUACCUCCAGAGGAAGCACCGGCCAACUCCGUGCCAGCAGCCGCGGUAAUACGGAGGGUGCAAGCGUUAUUCGGAAUCACUGGGCGUAAAGCGCGCGCAGGCGGCUGCGUAAGUCAGAUGUGAAAUCCCUUGGCUCAACCGAGGAAUUGCAUUUGAAACUGCGUAGCUUGAGUUCGGGAGAGGGUGGCGGAAUUCCCGGUGUAGGGGUGAAAUCCGUAGAUAUCGGGAGGAACACCAGAGGCGAAGGCGGCCACCUGGCCCGAAACUGACGCUCAGGCGCGAAAGCGUGGGUAGCAAACA
rnacentral:rRNA from 1 species